UAUGAGCAAGAGCUUUGAAGGCGGCUCUUCUAGCGUCAAUAUUUUCACUUUGCACCAGCCCAAUGAGCGCAGGGCAAGCCUUCUCAGCUACAUAAGUUUUUUUCUCAUGUCCAAUAUCAAUUUCCACAAGGUACGCAGCCAUUGCCACCUGAGUCUCCUCACUCCCUGCCAUAUAUCAUUCGGAAGUAAACUGAUAUUAAUCAACAUCAAUUCAUUGUUUAUCAUUUCGCUCCAGGUAAUGCUUGUAUAGCAACUAUGCUUCAUAAACUUUGGAGAGAAAAGCAGUAAUGAAUUACCUUCUGCUAGAUGGCCCAGAAGAGGUUCCAAUAGUCCACUCUCUGCCAUUUGCUUGAUGUUCUCAGGACACUUCUCUAAAUUUCUUAAGAUUUGGUCUGAUGUUUCAGAUGCAAAGGAAUCCAACUCCCUGUUAUACUUUGCGGUAACUAACAUUAGUAUCGCCCCUCUAGCAGUCCCAAUCUUCUCACAUGCAUGUUGGGAUUUUGAAAGCUCAAGCAGUAAGGCUUGUGCUGCAUGUCUUACAGGCUGGUGACUGCUUCCCAAAAGUUUGAUUACGCAUGACAUAGUUAUUGUCUUCACAAUCAUUUCCUGUAAGACAACUUUGAAAUAUAAAAGUCUAUUGAAACAAGAAGUAGAACUGCUGUGUCUAGCUAGGACAAAUAAUCACAGCAGCGCAUAUCGUCUAAGGUAGUGUGCUAUUGCAUAAUAGGUAUGUGAAAGAGAUCCAACCUUUCCGUCAUCAGUUUCUUCAUCUGCCAGUGUCCUUAAGAACUUUAGUAGUUCAAACCUCACAUCUUUACUUCUGUACGUCAGGUAUCUAUCAAGCAGCUGAAUGAUCCCAGCUUCACGGACUUGUACCUUGUUGUACUCUUUCCCUUCACAGGUCAUUUGCAGAUCUCUUAACGCGUCGAU
rnacentral:lncRNA from 1 species